UACGUAGGGGGCAAGCGUUGUCCGGAAUCAUUGGGCGUAAAGAGCGUGUAGGCGGCUCGAUAAGUCUGCUGUGAAAGUCCAGGGCUCAACCCUGGAAGGCCGGUGGAAACUGUCGGGCUAGAGUCCGGAAGAGGCGAGUGGAAUUCCCGGUGUAGCGGUGAAAUGCGUAGAUAUCGGAAGGAACACCGGUGGCGAAAGCGGCGCUCUGGCCCUCUUCUGACGCUGAGGCGCGAAAGCCAGGGGAGCAAACGGG
rnacentral:rRNA from 1 species